UUAACUCGAAUUUGUAUGCAGUUGGAACAGCGCCCCAAGCGGCAAACGUUCCAACUCCAUACAAAUUUGAGUUA
rnacentral:pre_miRNA from 1 species